UAUCCCAUCAAUCAGCUUACUAUACUAUCCUAUUAGCCUCACAGCAGUGAGGAACGGGGCAGUAGAAGAGCAAACACCCAGCCCAUAUGGAUCCGCACUGCUGUGAGUACUGCAGACGCAACCAAAAAUCACCUGAUCACCACUACUGAUCAGUGCUCCAUACACUGGGUUUUCUAGGGAAAUUUAAGAGCUGGAGUUUUGUGGAUGAGGAAUUCUACCAACUGGACAAAAGCCGGAAUGUAGAAGACUAGAGAGCUGGUAAACUAUGUAGAGAGACGUUUUGACAUAAACAGACUAGAUUAACUCCAAUAUCGCUCGGUUUUUACCUGGAUAUAGACUGGCUAUGUACUCCUCGGCUAGAAAACAAAUAAAGCCAGGUUUUCACCUGAACGCCUAGAUGGCGUUUCACUGACUGUUCACAACGAAAAAAUUGGUAGGAGCAAUAUUUCUUAAGAAGUAAUUUAAGUAAAUUCAUAAAAUUAUUCAUUAUGAAGUAAACAAAAGGCACAUUAAAUGAUCAAAAGUAGAAAGUGAAAUUGAACAAGACUGAUGGAAGUAUUAGGCGUCGGACAGGGAAUGGUAGCCUAAUACUUAGGCAUCACCAGGUUCAAUCUGGCCAACUCAGUUGGAAAAUCAUGAGGCAACUCAAGGAAAUUGGAAUGCAAAUUUAUUUAAUACUGUUGUGGAGCCGGAACAGAGCCGCAGAGUGAUGUGGUAGAGGUGGAGGUUAUUGCAGAGAGGGAGGAUCACCACGACAAGGCAUGACAGACACAGAACAGAGCUUUCACUUGGUUUGUUGAAGUUUCCCCAGCUGACAGAAAGAGUAGAAGCAUAUCCAUACCUUCGCU